rnacentral:rRNA from 1 species
AGAGAGAGAAUGCGCGCAUAUCAAUAAGCGGAGGAAAAGAAACUAACAAGGAUUCCCUUAGUAACGGCGAGUGAAGCGGGAAGAGCUCAAAUUUGAAAUCUUCAAGGUUCUACCUUGACGAAUUGUAGUUUAUAGGAGUGUUUUCUGUUAGUGGAGUGGCAAAAGUUCUUUGGAAUAGGACAUCAUAGAGGGUGAGUAUCCCGUAUUUGGUCAUUCCUCCUAGCGUUGUGAUACACUUUCAACGAGUCGGAUUGUUUGGGAAUGCAGUCCAAAAUGGGUGGUAAAUUUCAUCUAAAGCUAAAUACUGGCGAGAGACCGAUAGCGAACAAGUACCGUGAGGGAAAGAUGAAAAGAACUUUGAAAAGAGAGUUAAACAGUACGUGAAAUUGUCAAAAGGGAAGCGUUUGACACCAGUGUUGUUUUCUCGAAAAUCAAUUAAAAAUGGUGGGAUGUUGUGUUGUAUUGACUUUAUCAGCUUUCAGCACUCUUUUUCCUUGUCUUUUUUAAUGCACUUUUCGUUUAACAAGUCAACAUCAAUUUCUUUUGUUGUAAAAGGGUCAUUGGAAGGUGGCUUUCUUUUCGGAGAAAGUGUUUAUAGCCUUGUACCUCUGCAAUCGGAGAGAUUGAGGUCUGCAGCGUAGAUCCUUCGGGGUUAAAUAGCAUUUGUGCUAAGUUAUAACAUUUUCAUAGACAACUUGUUGACUAUGAUUUAGUCUUGUAGCUUACUCGCUUAUGCUAUUUUACCUACGCUUAGGAUGUUGAUAGUCACAGCGUGUAC